GAUGAACGCUGGCGGCGUGCCUAAUACAUGCAAGUCGAGCGAAUCGGGGACGGGUGAGUAACACGUGGAUAACCUCCUAUAAGACUGGGGUAACUUCGGGAAACAGGAGCUAAACCGGGUACUUAUAGAUGGAUCCGCGCUGGAUUAGCUAGUGGGUAAGGUAACGGCUUACAAAGGCAACGAUGAAUAGCCGACCUGAGAGGGUGAUGGGCCAAACUGGAACUGAGACAGGGUCCGGAUCCCUACGGGAGGAAGCAGGAGGGAAUCUUCCGCAAGGGGCGAAAGCCUGACGGAGAAACGCCGCGGGAGGGAUUCAGGUCUUCGGAUCGUAAGACCCUGUUAUUAGGGAAGCGGUACCUAAUCAGAAAGCCACGGCUAACUACGUGCCAGCAGCCGCGGUAAUUC
rnacentral:rRNA from 1 species